rnacentral:rRNA from 1 species
AUGCGAUCUUCAUGGGCUGAUUCAGUUGCGAACGCCGAGGAAUCGGCGCCCGCGACUGGUGCUGCUCCCGCCCCUGUUGCCAAUCACCAGAACUCGCGUCCCACUCACAGCUCUUACGUCCCUCCUCACCUCCGUGGCGGUGGCCGCUCACCAGAGAAUCAAGUGCCAGCUGCUGCUCCAACACCAGCUGGCGCAUACCCCUCAGGUGCUGUGCAGCCUUCUGGUGGGUACGCAGCUGCUGUUGGUGGUACUCGCUGGGCUGCCCCUCCUGGUGCUCCUAGCGCUGGCGUAGGCGUUGUCCGCCAGGGUGGUGGUGGACGUGGUGCUGUUGGUGGCGGUGGUGGCGGCUGGAACUCCCGCCCUGGUGGGUGGGGGGACCGCAGGGACCGUGAACCAAACCCUUUUGGCGAUAGUGAGCCGGCGGCUGUGGAUGUUGACUUUGAGAGUCAGCAGAACACGGGCAUCAAUUUUGACGCCUAUGAGGACAUUCCUGUGGAGACAAGUGGCCACGAUGUGCCUCCAGCAGUCAACACGUUUGCAGAGAUUGACUUGGGUGAUGCACUGAAUGAGAAUAUUCGGAGGUGCAAGUAUGUGAGGCCCACACCUGUGCAGCGGCAUGCCAUUCCGAUUGUCAUUGGAGGCAGGGAUCUGAUGGCCUGCGCUCAGACUGGGUCUGGGAAGACAGCUGCUUUUUGUUUCCCGAUCAUCAGUGGGAUCCUAAAGUCAAGGCCACCACAGAGGCCAAGAGCUAGGACUGCAUUUCCUCUUGCUCUGAUAUUAUCUCCUACCCGCGAGCUAUCAGUCCAAAUUCAUGAAGAAGCAAAGAAAUUUGCAUACCAGACUGGUGUUAAGGCUUGUGUUGCAUAUGGUGGAGCACCAAUUCAUCAGCAGUUGAGAGAACUGGAAAGAGGUGUUGAUAUACUAGUGGCAACUCCUGGUCGUUUGAUGGAUCUGCUGGAGAGAGCUAGAGUAUCACUGCAAAUGGUGAAUUACUUGGCUCUUGAUGAAGCUGACCGGAUGCUCGAUAUGGGGUUUGAGCCACAGAUACGCAAGAUUGUUGAGCAGAUGGACAUGCCCCCUCGUGGUGUGAGACAGACCAUGCUGUUCAGUGCUACUUUUCCAAAGGAGAUACAACGCCUGGCAUCAGAUUUCCUUGCAGACUACAUCUUCCUUGCUGUUGGAAGAGUUGGCUCAAGUACUGAUUUGAUUGCACAAAGGGUAGAGUUUGUCCUUGAAGCGGAUAAAAGAAGUUACCUCAUGGACCUUAUUCAUGCGCAGAAGGCUAAUGAUGUUCCUGGAAAGAAUUCUCUUACUUUGGUCUUUGUGGAGACAAAGAGAGGUGCUGAUGCUCUGGAGAACUGGCUGUAUACAAAUGGGUUCCCUGCAACAAGUAUUCAUGGAGAUCGUACACAACAGGAAAGGGAGUAUGCGCUGAGAUCCUUCAAGAGUGGAGCAACUCCCAUCCUGGUUGCAACUGACGUUGCUGCUCGUGGGCUUGACAUACCAGAUGUCGCCCACGUCAUCAAUUUUGAUCUGCCAAAUGACAUAGAUGACUAUGUUCACCGCAUUGGGAGAACUGGUAGAGCUGGGAAGUCUGGUCUGGCAACUGCAUUUUUCAAUGAGGGCAACAUGUCACUGGCCAGGCCAUUGUGUGAACUGAUGCAGGAAGCCAAUCAGGAGGUUCCUCAGUGGCUGGAGCGCUAUUCUGCCCGUUCCUCGUUUGGAGGCGGCGGAGGAGGCAGAAACCGCAGGUCAGGAGGCGGCGGCGGUGCUCGAUUUGGUGGACGUGACUUCCGUCGCGACACGAGGGGCGGCGGCGGUGGAGGAGGUGGUGGCUAUGGCGGCGGUGGCGGUGGCGGUUACGGUGGUGGUGGAGGUUAUGGUGGAGGCGCUUCUAGCUCGUGGGACUGA